AACGAGGUCCGGGUGCACAGACAACUAGGAUGUUGCCUAAGAAGCAGCCACCAUUUAAACAGUGCGUCAAAGCUCACUAGUCGAGUGACCCUGCGCCGAAAAUGUACCGGUGCUAAACAUAUUACCGAAGCUGUGGACUACACCAUUAGGUGUAGUGGUAGGAGAGCGUUAUAAGGUCGUUGAAUGUCGAUCGUGAGGACGGCUGGAGCGCUUAUAAGUGAGAAUGCCG
rnacentral:rRNA from 1 species